AGGACGAACGCUGGCGGCGUGCUUAACACAUGCAAGUCGAGCGAGGCCCCACCUUCGGGUGGUGUCCUAGCGGCGAACGGGUGAGUAACACGUGGGCAACCUGCCCCUAGCACUGGGAUAACUCCGGGAAACCGGGCUAAUACCGGAUACGACUUCGGAAGGCAUCUUCUGAAGUGGAAAGGGUUACUGGCUAGGGAUGGGCCCGCGGCCUAUCAGCUUGUUGGUGGGUAACGCCUACCAAGGCUCCGACGGGUAG
rnacentral:rRNA from 1 species